rnacentral:rRNA from 1 species
AGCUCCAAUAGCGUAUAUUAAAGUUGUUGCAGUUAAAAAGCUCGUAGUUGGAUCUCGGGUCCAGGCCUGUGGUGCAGCUUAGGCUGCUUACUGCUCGUCCUGACCUACCUACCGGUUUUCCCUUGGUGCUCUUAAGUGAGUGUCUUGGGUGGCCGGAACGUUUACUUUGAAAAAAUUAGAGUGCUCAAAGCAGGCUUUCGCCUGAAUAUUAGUGCAUGGAAUAAUUGAAUAGGACCUCGGUUCUAUUUUGUUGGUUUUCGGAACUCGAGGUAAUGAUUAAGAGGGACAGACGGGGGCAUUCGUAUUACGGUGUUAGAGGUGAAAUUCUUGGAUCGCCGUAAGACGAACUACUGCGAAAGCAUUUGCCAAGAAUGUUUUCA